CAGCAUAUCCAAAAACUCAUCUG
rnacentral:miRNA from 1 species